rnacentral:rRNA from 1 species
CUGGCUCAGGACGAACGCUGGCGGCGUGCCUAACACAUGCAAGUCGAACGGUCCAGUGUCUAACACCGAGUGUUUAAGGAGCAGAUAAGUGGAUGACAGCGCGAAGAAUGAGCGCUCCACGCAUUCAAUAAGUGUCAACACAGCUUCUGGAAUGCUGGGUGUUAGAUGCUGGAUAGUGGCGGACGGGUGAGUAACGCGUGGAUAACCUACCUACUAGACCGGGACAACCCUUGGAAACGAGGGCUAAUACCGGAUAAGCUUACGCCUUGGCAUCAAGGAGUAAGGAAAGAUGGCCUCUGAAGAUGCUAUCGUUAGUAGAUGGAUCCGCGUCUGAUUAGCUAGUUGGUGGGGUAAAGGCCUACCAAGGCGACGAUCAGUAGCCGGCCUGAGAGGGUGAACGGCCACACUGGGACUGAGACACGGCCCAGACUCCUACGGGAGGCAGCAGUGGGGAAUCUUCCGCAAUGGACGAAAGUCUGACG